GGCGAAGCCAGAGGAAACUCUGGUGGAGGCUCGAAGCGAUACUGACGUGCAAAUCGUUCGUCUGACUUGGGUAUAGGGGCGAAAGACUAAUCGAACCAUCUAGUAGCUGGUUCCCUCCGAAGUUUCCCUCAGGAUACGCGGAGCCCAUUACGAGUUCUAUCAGGUAAAGCCAAUGAUUAGAGGCAUUGGGGACGCAACGUCCUCGACCUAUUCUCAAACUUUAAAUAGGUAGGAUGGCUCGGCUG
rnacentral:ncRNA from 1 species